UUCAGACCCGUGGCAAAUAGCUCAGUAACACGUGGUCAAACUGCCCUACGGAUCGGGAUAACCUCGGGAAACUGAGGCUAAUCCYGAAUACGACUCUCAACCUGGAGUGCCGAGAGUCGCAAACGCUCCGGCGCUGUAGGAUGUGGCUGCGGCCGAUUAGGUAGACGGUGGGGUAACGGCCCACCGUGCCGAUAAUCGGUACAGGUUGUGAGAGCAAGAGCCUGGAGACGGAAUCUGAGACAAGAUUCCGGGCCCUACGGGGCGCAGCAGGCGCGAAACCUUUACACUGCACGACAGUGCGAUAGGGGGACUCCGAGUGCGAGGGCAUACAACGCCCUCGCUUUUCUGUACCGUAAGGUGGUACAGGAACAAGUGCUGGGCAAGACCGGUGCCAGCCGCCGCGGUAAUACCGGCAGCACGAGUGAUGGCCGAUUUUAUUGGGCCUAAAGCGUCCGUAGCUGGCCGUUCAAGUCUGUCGGGAAAUCCAGUGGCUCAACCACUGGGCUGCCGGCGGAAACUGUACGGCUUGGGACCGGAAGACCCGAGGGGUACGUCCGGGGUAGGAGUGAAAUCCUGUAAUCCUGGACGGACCACCGAUGGCGAAAGCACCUCGAGAGCACGGAUCCGACAGUGAGGGACGAAAGCUAGGGUCUCGAACCGGAUUAUAUACCCGGGUAGUCCUAGCUGUAAACGAUGCUCGCUCGGUCUGGCACAGGCUACGAGCCUGUGCUGUGCCACAGUGAAGACGUAAGCGAGCCGCCUGGGAAGUACGUCCGCAAGGAUGAAACUUAAAGGAAUUGGCGGGGGAGCA
rnacentral:rRNA from 1 species